UACGAAGGGUGCAAGCGUUAAUCGGAAUUACUGGGCGUAAAGCGCGCGUAGGUGGUUUCUUAAGUCAGAGGUGAAAGGCUACGGCUCAACCGUAGUAAGCCUUUGAAACUGGGAAACUUGAGUGCAGGAGAGGAGAGUGGAAUUCCUAGUGUAGCGGUGAAAUGCGUAGAUAUCACGAGGAACUCCGAUUGCGCAGGCAGCUUACUAAACUACUACUGACGCUCAGGCACGAAGGCGUGGGGAUCAAACAGGAUUAGAUACCCCGGUAGUCCCUGA
rnacentral:rRNA from 1 species